rnacentral:piRNA from 1 species
UUGGCUUCUAAGAACCUCAUGGUGGGCAUC